UCCCUGCUUCACAUUGACCAAGA
rnacentral:siRNA from 1 species